UACGAGGGAUGCAAGCGUUAUCCGGAAUUAUUGGGCGUAAAGCGUUUGUAGGCGGGCGAGUGUGUUUAAUGUUAAAUCUUAAAGCUCAACUUUGAAAUUGCGUUAAAAACUGCUUGUCUUGAGUAUGGUAGGGGUAAAGGGAAUUCCCAGUGUAGCGGUGAAAUGCGUAGAUAUUGGGAAGAACACUAAACAGCGAAGGCACUUUACUAGGCUAAUACUGACGCUGAGAAACGAAAGGUAAGGUAGCGAAACGGAUUAGAUACCCGUGUAGUCUUACCCGUAAACUAUGGACACUAAACGGUAAAUUUUUAAUUUACUGUUAAAGCUAACGCGUUAAGUGUCCCGCCUGGGGAGUAUGCUUGCAAAAGUGAAACUCAAAGGAAUUGACGGGGGCCCGCACAAGCGGUGGAGCAUGUGGUUUAAUUCGACGGUACACGAAGAACCUUACCAGGAUUUGACAUGCUAGAUAGUUGCUUGAAAGAGUAACGUGCCGUAAGGAAUCUAGACACAGGUGGUGCAUGGCUGUCGUCAGUUCGUGUUGUGAAAUGUUGGGUUAAGUCCCGCAACGAACGCAACCCUUGUCUUUAGUUAUUUUCUAAAGAGACUGCCUGUAAUAAACAGGAGGAAGGUAAGGAUGAGGUCAAGUCAUCAUGCCCCUUAUGUCCUGGGCUACACACGUGCUACAAUGGGAAAGACAAUGAGCUGCAAAUCUGUAAAUUUAAGCAAAUCUCUUAAACUUUCUCGUAGUUCGGAUUGUGGGCUGCAACUCGCCCACAUGAAGUUGGAAUCGCUAGUAAUCGCCAGUCAGCUAUAUGGCGGUGAAUCCGUUCCCCGGGCCU
rnacentral:rRNA from 1 species